GACGAACGCUGGCGGCGUGCCUAAUACAUGCAAGUGGGACGCAAGGAAACACACUGUGCUUGCACACCGUGUUUUCUUGAGUCGCGAACGGGUGAGUAACGCGUAGGUAACCUGCCUAUUAGCGGGGGAUAACUAUUGGAAACGAUAGCUAAUACCGCAUAAUAUUAAUUAUUGCAUGAUAAUUGAUUGAAAGAUGCAAGCGCAUCACUAGUAGAUGGACCUGCGUUGUAUUAGCUAGUUGGUAGGUAAGAGCUUACCAAGGCGACGAUACAUAGCCGACCUGAGAGGGUGAUCGGCCACACUGGGACUGAGACACGGCCCAGACUCCUACGGGAGGCAGCAGUAGGGAAUCUUCGGCAAUGGACGAAAGUCUGACCGAGCAACGCCGCGUGAGUGAAGAAGGUUUUCGGAUCGUAAAGCUCUGUUGUAAGUCAAGAACGUGUGUGAGAGUGGAAAG
rnacentral:rRNA from 1 species